GAUGAACGCUGGCGGCGUGCCUAAUACAUGCAAGUCGAGCGAACAGACGAGGAGCUUGCUCCUUUGACGUUAGCGGCGGACGGGUGAGUAACACGUGGAUAACCUACCUAUAAGACUGGGAUAACUUCGGGAAACCGGAGCUAAUACCGGAUAACAUGUUGAACCGCAUGGUUCAACAGUGAAAGACGGUCUUGCUGUCACUUAUAGAUGGAUCCGCGCCGCAUUAGCUAGUUGGUAAGGUAACGGCUUACCAAGGCAACGAUGCGUAGCCGACCUGAGAGGGUGAUCGGCCACACUGGAACUGAGACACGGCCCAGACUCCUACGGGAGGCAGCAGUAGGGAAUCUUCCGCAAUGGGCGAAAGCCUGACGGAGCAACGCCGCGUGAGUGAAGAAGGUCUUCGGAUCGUAAAACUCUGUUAUUAGGGAAGAACAAAUGUGUAAGUAACUAUGCACGUCUUGACGGUACCUAAUCAGAAAGCCACGGCUAACUACGUG
rnacentral:rRNA from 1 species